rnacentral:lncRNA from 1 species
UCACCCCAGAGAGGGAAGCCUGAGCUGCAGGAGGAGAGCCUGCAGGCCUCCUGGGGAGAACUGCACCUUUACAUUAAUGGACAUUGGAACAGUAAUUCAGCCUCAGUUUUUAUUUACAAUGUGACAUGGAAAAACUACUGCUGGAUUUCCAACAUUAAGUCCAAGUACAGAUAGCUCCAAAAUUUCUCACUGUGACAGCCCACCUCAUUCACAGACAACAGGGAAUAUUUAAUAGUGCAGACACCCAAAGCAUUGGACAGAAAAACAGCUCUCAGUCUGAGCAAGAUUAUGCUUAGAGAAAAAAAAAAGUUAAAUGCAUUUUAAGUAAAAACUCAAUUGAUCAAGUCAGCCAGAAAAUAUUCUCUUAAAAGGAAUUUCUCUCUAAACAACCAAAGUGCACAGCUACUCUCAGCAUGAGAAACAUGAGCAUUAUGAAGAAAAGGGAUAUAUUCUCAGCAGAAUUUUAUAAGAUUUCUCUUCCAUCUCUGCUGCUCUCUCAUCUCCUAGCCAUUGAAUGGGGGGUUAUAUAUUGAAAUACAUCUCACAAUUUCCACCAGCACUUUUGA